rnacentral:rRNA from 1 species
AUUGAACGCUGGCGGCAGGCCUAACACAUGCAAGUCGAACGAGUGGCGGACGGGUGAGUAAUGACUGGGAAACUGCCUGAUGGAGGGGGAUAACUAAUGGAAAAGGUAGCUAAUAACGCAUACCAUCAGAUGUGCCCAGAUGGGCUUAGCUAGUGGGUGGGGUAACGGCUUACCAAGGCGAAGAUCCCUAGCUGGUCGGAGAGGAUGACCAGCCACACUGGAACUGAGACACGGUCCCGACUCCUACGGGAGGCAGCAGUGGGGAAUAUUGCACAAUGGGCGCAAGCCUGAUGCAGCCAUGCCGCGUGUAUGAAGAAGGCCUUCGGGUUGUAAAGUACUUUCAGCGGGGAGGCGUUACCCGCAGAAGAAGCACCGGCUAACUCCGUGCCAGCAGCCGCGGUAAUUC